UUUUGGGGGAAAGGAUGAGAAAAAUCAGUCUUUUUGUUUGUCAUCAAUUGCAAUGCCCGAUACAGAUAUUACAUUUGAGCUUAUCAUCAAUUUGAAUGUAUAAUUGGCACAAAAAGUAUUUAAUAAGAAGCAGAUUGAGUUCCUUUUCCAGGUCUCAAGCUGAAAAUCACCUUUAGUAAAGAUUUAUGCUUUUAUUUAGUUUCCCUUAGUUCAACUUUGCAAAUAGUCCCAUUGCUUAUUGCUGGAAAACACUGUAGAGAAUUCUCCCUUGUUCAUGAACUUCAUCUGAUUAGAUGGAAAUUAAAAUAACCUAUGUGGGUUUCAUUUAUUAAAUAGACAUUUACUGAGGGUGUAUUUUAUGGAAAGCACCAUGUUAAGAUCUUUUAAAAGGUCACACAAAAAACAAUAGAAAUUAAUACAAUUUAGUAGCAGGUAAAUUAACUAUUGAUGUAGAGGAAGUGUAAGUGACAAUGUUAGAUUUUAUUAUUGCAUAAAUAUAUAUAUAUAGUCAUAUGUUUUCACUCUCAAGAAAAUCUGUAGCAACUCCUCAUAGAACAAAGGAUAAAAUACAUAAACACUACAAGUCAACAUAUUAAAAUAACUUUAAUUCUUGAUCUGAAUUAGUUGAUCUUUAAACAUUCAUUGUUUUCCUUAGGAAAAUUUAAUCAAUUUGCAUAUUAAUGGAUAAAUUUAUAUUGUAGAGCACCUG
rnacentral:lncRNA from 1 species